rnacentral:tRNA from 1 species
GGGUCCUUAGCUCAGUUGGUAGAGCGCCUGCUUUGCAAGCAGGAUGUCGGGAGUUCGAUUCUCCCAGGAUCCACCG